CCCACCGCGCCUCCGCGGUCCACGUGGGUGACCUCGAGCCCGCCACGGCCAGGGGCGGGGGCCCAAGUUGGGCGUUCGCCGAGACAGCAGGCAGCGGCUGCAGGGCGCAGAGCACGUGAGGGAAGGGGAAGCCGCCCAGCCCACUCCAGCCUGCGUAGGCGGCGCGCCGCGCCCUCAGGGUUUUGGUCCCAGAGUUUGGAGAAAGGAAAUUCCGCACCCUGUUUAUGGCCUUGGAGGUCGCUGUAUUAAAAGAACACGGGUGGGGGACAAACAGUGGCCCACACAACAGGAAUGCAAAUAUUUGCCACCAAAUUUCCAGUGCUCCCAAGACUGGUGUUUUGGUGUGGAACCUCUUUCCUCUGGCCUGGACUGCUGCAGGGGACACCUUACUGGCCUCCACCUCGUCCUCCACAUUGCUGCCGGAAUCAAUUUCUGAGAAAGUUCAGUCACAAUGUUCUCCUGCUCAAAAUCUUCUGGGGCUCCUACUGGCUUGGUUCUUUUUGGAAGAUCAGGCCCCCUUUUGAGAAUUACAGGGGCACAAUCGACCCUGACUCCAGGGAGGAAAAAAACGUACACACCACCUGCAGCUCACCCCCACCCCCAGGACUGCACAGGGGCCCCUCAGCCUGUGCUGGUUCUCACAGCUAGCCCUGCCCUCCGCCAGCCUCACCUCUUUCUGUCUGCUUUUCAGACCCUCCUGCUUCAGCCAUAUUGAAUUAUUUGCCAUCUCCCACACAUUUCCUGCUGUUCCCUGCUGGUGUGCUUGGCUUCUGCUGUUCCCUCUGCCUGGAGUGCCUCCCCAGUUUCAGCCACCUGACAAGCUAUUCUCUGGUGUACUAAGCUGAAGCAUCGUCUCUUUCGCAGUCUUCCCAAACCACAUAGUCAGUCAGACACGGGCACUCCUGCUUUCCUUACUUCAUCCUCAAACCUGCAGUCCCGUGCUUUCUUGUCUGCGACUGCAAGCUUCCCAAGAGACCCUGUGUUCCUUGAAGGCAGGAACUGGGCUUUUCAAAUCUGUAGCCUCGUCUGCAGCAAGGGGCCUAAUCUUAUAAGAAAAUGUUAUUUUCAAUUACCAAUGACAGACAGUAUUAUAGUACUUCCAGGCGAACAGCAUAGGGAUUAGAGACAGUUAUAUACCUUAGGAAGUGAUCGCCCAGUACAGGACCUAUUUUAAUUAAUUAGGGCUGAGUCGUAGAACGGAGGACCAGCCCAUGUGCCACCACGUCUUUCACGAUCAUUCUCCGAGAGCACCCAUCACGUCUACAGGUAAUCCCGCAACGGGAAAGACUAUGUCCUAAACCUUAGCCCUUCCAAACAGCGCCUGCACAACUGUUCCUGUAUCUACCACCCACAGCCAUAAUUAAUUGUAACCUAAUCACUAUUUGAACUUCAAUAAUGCCUCAUUAUAAGCUAUAAUUGUAAAAUUAUGUAUUGUGCUAAUUAUGUAUGUUUUCCUCAGAUGCAAAU